rnacentral:lncRNA from 1 species
UAGCGACAGCAGACACCUCAAAGAAUCCAGGGAGGGACACUAGAGGUUGAGCAGCAAGCUGCUAAGUGAUUCAAAAGACUGGUUAGUAACACCUUUCUGUACUGGGCACAGGCCGCUAUUUUAACCAUGCAGCUUCUGUGGUUCAUGCAUUGCCUUAUGAUCUAUAGUCCUUCUUGCUGUAGGGCUUGUUGCGCAGUAUGUUAUCAAUCUCAUUUACCACAUGUGAUGUCAUCUUUGGGAGAACCUGAGAGCAGGAGGAGAAGUACAAAGGAUAUUGUUAGCAGUGUUGAUCAUUCGGUUUUUUGUGCUCUAUAUUUAGCAAAGUAAUCUAGAAUCAUAUAUCUUCAUAAACCACAGCUGAAAUCUAAGCCCCCCGCCCCCAACACCAUCACAUUGUAAGCUCCUUGAGGUCAGGGGCCUUGUUGAUUGACUGCAUAAAUGAAGGCAUAAAGGCAUAAGUGAAGGCUCAUAGAAAUACAGAGCAGCUCUAUCCAACAGAAAUAUAAUGCAAGCCACAUUUGUAAUUUAAAAUUUUCUAUUAGAUACCUUAAAAAGAACAGUGAAAUUAAUACAUGUUUUUACUUCAUUAUAUCCAAAACAUUAUUUCAACAUGUAAUCAAUAUAGAAAAGAUACUUGACAGUUGUUUUUGGUACUAAGUCACAUCUUGUGAACAUGUUACACUUAAAGCACAUCUCUGUUUGGACUCACCAUCUUUCCCGCAUACAAUAGCCACAUGUGGCUAGAACCAUAGUAGUACACAGCACAGGUCUAGAGACUAAGGAGAGAUUUAUUCUGACUGGUGGUCUUAUCCCUGGUGAAGGAUGGCUGGGGUUUAACAGGCAUCCCAGGUAGAUGGAAUAGCAUGGAAAAGUGAACUGGAGUGAUAGUAUACAGUGAUUGGUGUAGGUGUGGGGAUGCUAAGAACAGGAUACGGAUGGUAAGAAUGGGAUAAGAGUGUGGAAAGCCUUGAAUGCCAUUUUAUGGAGUCCCCACUUUAGGCAGUGGGGAACCUGUCAGGACUUCUGAUCUAGGAGUAACCCUAUCAGACACCUGGAGGUAGUUUGAAGGAUGAGCUGGAGGAGGUGGAAAGGGGACACAGAUAUUAGAUAUGUAUUACAAUCCAAGCCAGGCAAUAGGGCCUUAACUAGGGCAGUGGAGCAGAAAAGUGGACCUGAGAGACAUUUUGGGGGAAGAUGGUGGUUUCAAGACUGAGUAACUAGAAGUAUAUUGGUAUUGAUUAUUGAGAUUAGAAACCAAAGGAGAAGUAGUUUGGGGAAUAAGAAGUUGGGAGAGAAUAGGAUGUGUUGAGUGUAAAGUGCCUGUGGAAUAUCCACCUAGGAGUGACUGAGCAGCUGCAAGUGCAGCUGUGGAGCUUAGUAGCUGCCGGAGGACUGGAGUUGAGGGUUUGUGAGUCAUUUGCACCGACAUGCUGACUGAAGCCCCGGGAAAGGAUGAGCUCAUCCAAGGCUAGCAUUUACUGUGAGAAGUGGGCCAAGGGUACACAUUACACCAUAAGACAAGGGACAAAGGCAGACUUUCUCACUGGAAAAGUCUGACCCUGUGUGGAGACUGUGGUGAAAUACAAUUCUGACGACCAAUUCUGAGGUUUCAACCUCAUUCUUCCUUUGUUGCAAUCCUGCUGGCCAAGGUGACCUUGUCUCCAGUCAAGUGCUAUCCUCAGAAGCCUUAGGGUUUGGCAAAAUAGAGCUGCCAGCCUGGGAAACUUCAUUCUGGUUAAUGUUUUACUGUCUGAAGCUGAAGGAAGAAUUUGGUUUCCCACUAGCUCUGGAAUUUCAGUGUCCAAACAGCUAAUGUGUUAUUUAAAAUGAGAUUGU